rnacentral:snRNA from 1 species
ACUGGCCUCCACUGCUAAAACCUCCAAAAAGCUCCCAAGGUCCAUUUGUAGGAGAACAUAGGGUAAUCAAAUUUCCAAGACCCCAGACACAUCCAGAUGAGAUGCUGCAAGUGGCAGUCUGCCUUUCUUU